rnacentral:tRNA from 1 species
UUCUUGGUAGCUUAUGUAAAGCUUCGAGAUUUUAACUCGACUAAAACCUUUUAUUGUUCCAAGAGA